GUUACUAUAAACAGUAGAUACACAUUUACUAUGGAAUGUUCAUUCAUUCAAUCGUGUAGUGAAAUGUACAUCACAUGUCACAUGUACUUUAACAAACCGGUUUCUCUGACCGACAUUUAAUUAUAACGGUAACCAGUUUUAUUGCGUUUACAAUCAAAUAUAUUAAAUGUAUCUUAAAAUUACUUCUCGCAAGUACAUGAAAGUUUACAAUUAAACUUAAUAAAUAUUACAACAUUCAAAAAGUAUUUACUAUGUCUGAAUACCAACAUAUAAAUU
rnacentral:lncRNA from 1 species